UACGUAGGCAGCGAGCGUUGUUCGGAUUUACUGGGCGUAAAGGGUGCGUAGGCGGUUGUUUAAGUUUGGUGUGAAAUCUCCCGGCUCAACUGGGAGGGUGCGCCGAAUACUGAAUGACUAGAGUGCGGGAGAGGAGAGUGGAAUUCCUGGUGUAGCGGUGAAAUGCGUAGAUAUCAGGAGGAACACCGGUGGUGUAGACGGCUCUCUGGACCGUAACUGACGCUGAGGCACGAAAGCGUGGGUAGCAAACAGG
rnacentral:rRNA from 1 species